rnacentral:rRNA from 1 species
UACGGAGGGGACUAGCGUUGUUCGGAAUUACUGGGCGUAAAGCGCACGUAGGCGGAUUUGUAAGUCAGGGGUGAAAUCCCGGGGCUCAACCUCGGAACUGCCUUUGAUACUGCAAAUCUCGAGUCCGGAAGAGGUGAGUGGAAUUCCUAGUGUAGAGGUGAAAUUCGUAGAUAUUAGGAAGAACACCAGUGGCGAAGGCGGCUCACUGUCCGGUACUGACGCUGAGGUGCGAAAAGCGUGGGGAGCAAACAGG